AGACAUUCCAAAGUUGUUCGUCCGAUGGGUUCCAGAUUGACGGACCAUGUGCAACCGAUAUCUGUUAUGUGUAUUUGCACCGAUCAGGACUUGAUGGUUGGGAACCAGAGAGUGUGAAGAUUAUCAGUCCAAAUUCGAGCCCUGUCACAUAUGACUUCAACACCUCCGCUCCCAAUGAGGAUUGGUACGGAGUCAAUUUGUGCCAGAUACAUCCUCCUCCUUCUCCAUUUGAACCUUCGCCUCCUUUUCCAAUUAAACCUCCGCCUUCUCCUCCAUCUUCUUCUCAUCAGCAUCGCGUUCCCGGAUUGUUCGGGCUCGUAAUGAUUCUGGGAUCCAUCCUGAGUGCUCUGUUGUAAGCGCC
rnacentral:lncRNA from 1 species